rnacentral:lncRNA from 1 species
UAGUUCAUGAAGGUAAAACCUCUGUCUUUGAUCUUUUGAAUUGGAUAAAUACUUGAUCUUUGCUCUGUUGAAUUGGUUAAACCGUUGUUUAUAUUGGUUGGUGUUUUGUGAGUUCAGUUGCGAUUGUAUUAGAAAUUUAUUGUUGUCUGAAAUGAAUUUUAUUGCUGUCUUGAAUUGGAAAAGCAUGUUUGGUUAACUUUCUGUUUGAGUUCUUGUUCUUGAACCGUAAUAAAUUGCAUUAUGUUUGAACGAUAUAGGAGGUGUAGUGUAAUGAAUGCGUUAGGUUAGGGUUGUAUGAAGAUAAUAAAUUAAAAGUACGGUUGUGUUAAGAUAAUAAAUUGACGUUUUGGUUUGAUAGAUAUGGAUGGUGUAGUGUGAUAAUUGUGUUAGAUAUAUGUCCACUCGGGUUUGGUUGUGAUCAAUGUUUCUCUU